GGGCCCGCACAAGCAGUGGAGUAUGUGGUUUAAUUCGAAGCAACGCGAAGAACCUUACCAGGGCUUGACAUACAGUGGAAUAAUGCAGAGAUGCAUUAGCUCUUCGGAGCUGCUGUACAGGUGGUGCAUGGUUGUCGUCAGCUCGUGUCGUGAGAUGUUGGGUUAAGUCCCGCAACGAGCGCAACCCUUGUUGUUAGUUGCCAGCAUUAAGUUGGGCACUCUAACGAGACUGCCGGUGACAAAUCGGAGGAAGGUGGGGACGACGUCAAAUCAUCAUGCCCCUUAUGUCCUGGGCUACACACGUACUACAAUGGCUAUAACAGCAGGGAGCUAAGGAGUAAUCCGGAGCAAAUCCUCAAAAAUAGUCCCAGUUCAGAUUGUGGGCUGCAACCCGCCCACAUGAAGUCGGAAUUGCUAGUAAUGGCAGGUCAGCAUACUGCCGUGAAUACGUUCCCGGGCCUU
rnacentral:rRNA from 1 species